GAUAUUCAAAAAGUAUAUACCUCAAAGAAAACAAUGACGCGAGUUAUCGUCUCUAACGUUCGAGGACUACAAAAAACACUCGGAUUGUAGGCAACAGUUUACUUCCUGGGAUUAGUGACGUAGAUAAGACCAACAUUAUCAUAGUUCAGCCCUCUCUGCUUUGCUUGGGUACGCCCUCAAAGACGGGGGUGGGGAGCGCCGAGUCAGAACAGAAGAGAGCUAAAAUGGCGGAGGUUGUGAGUCCCUGCUUUGACUCUGUUUGCAAACUCUUGUUUCAUCGUUUAAGCGAUUAAAUCUCUCGAGUAGACGCUGUCUCUUUAGAUGCAAGGGCAAAAUAGCACUUUAUGGACUUCCACAGAGGACAUCAUGUUUAAUACGGUUCCGGAAAAAUCCAGUCAGAAGUUGUUCACGGAGUUUUCACAAUAACUGCUUCUCAUGAACCGAAGCUGGAUUUGCGCGACGUCUCCUCCUGAAAGUUGGAUUACUGUGCACUUCUGGAUCACAGGCUAUUCGCAGCUGGACACAUCCUUCUACACUGUAUGCAAACAUGCAACAUCAUUACACACAGUACAAGGAGUCAGACUGGCAUAUGAGGAGCAAAGGAACCCAGGCAGUAGCAUCGUUUCACAAUGUUUCCAUCACCAUCAUCAGUGGAUGCCUUUGCCGUCCGUAGCCUGAGAUUUCAGAUUUGCAGCAAAAAAAAUUGAUUUUCUAAUUUAUUGGAAUGCUGUGCAGGUUGUACCUUGCAGCCAUCCAUUACAAUGUCACCAAGCCGUAACAAAAGCAGGAGAGGGAAAGUACAAGGCUAUGUUCCCAAAACACACAAGUGACAUACCUUAUGUGGAGGAUGUGAUCAGGCUUGUGUUUGAUGAGGUAUUUGAAGAUAAGCUGAAGGAAACCCCGAUUCCAAUGGACCUGGCAUCACAGUUUGAGAGACCUUCAAAGGAGAACGUGAUUGCAUGCCAUCUUCAGUGCAGGGGUCGUCGAAAGCCAAAAUUGUGACCGAUCUGAUCAGGAAGCUCCAAGCAUAUCUGGAGAACAACACACGACAGGAUGAUAACCUUAUAGUGUCGUCUUAAAUAGCACCAGCUGACAAAGCUUUGAUAUGCCAUUUAUCUGAAUAGAUAGCUGUAAGAAAUGAAUUGAACAAUUUUUGAAACAAGAGCACAAUAUGGUUACUAAAGUAUGUUUAUUUGUAUAUUGUUUAACAUUUAAAUAUAUAUUUGUAAUAAAUAAAUAAAAACUUUUG